rnacentral:rRNA from 1 species
UACGGGGGGUGCGAGCGUUGUCCGGAAUCACUGGGCGUAAAGGGCGCGUAGGUGGUUUGAUAAGGGUGUGGUGAAAGUCCGGGGCUCAACCCCGGAUCUGCCGUGCCGACUGUCAAACUCGAGGGCUGUAGAGGCAGACGGAAUUCCGGGUGUAGCGGUGGAAUGCGUAGAGAUCCGGAGGAAGACCGGUGGCGAAGGCGGGUCUCUGGGCCGAUACUGACGCUGAGGAGCGAAAGCGUGGGGAGCGAACAGG